GGACCUCUUAGAAAGGACCGCAUCAUCAGCUAAGGAGGAAAAGUAACAAAGAACUUGAAGACUUUCAUGGCUCCCAGGCCCUGGAUGGAGGCAGACGGCAUCAGGCAGCUUCAGACAGAGAAUGGUGGAAGCUGAGGGGCAGCUAGGAUGCGCCUGGGGCUGCAAAGCCCAGACUUGUCUUUGGAAAAGACUCAGAAGAGCCCGUUAACUUGGCUUCCUCACUUUGCUCAUCAUGUGAGUAC
rnacentral:lncRNA from 1 species